AGAGUUUGAUCCUGGCUCAGGACGAACGCUGGCGGCGUGCCUAACACAUGCAAGUCGAGCGAUGAAGUUCCUUCGGGAACGGAUUAGCGGCGGACGGGUGAGUAACACGUGGGCAACCUGCCUUAUAGAGGGGAAUAGCCUUCCGAAAGGAAGAUUAAUACCGCAUAAGAUUGUAGCUUCGCAUGAAGCAGCAAUUAAAGGAGCAAUCCGCUAUAAGAUGGGCCCGCGGCGCAUUAGCUAGUUGGUGAGGUAACGGCUCACCAAGGCGACGAUGCGUAGCCGACCUGAGAGGGUGAUCGGCCACAUUGGGACUGAGACACGGCCCAGACUCCUACGGGAGGCAGCAGUGGGGAAUAUUGCACAAUGGGGGAAACCCUGAUGCAGCAACGCCGCGUGAGUGAUGACGGCCUUCGGGUUGUAAAGCUCUGUCUUUGGGGACGAUAAUGACGGUACCCAAGGAGGAAGCCACGGCUAACUACGU
rnacentral:rRNA from 1 species